AGGUAGUAAAGUUAUUGAAACCUAAGUAUUUUGGCGGUUUUUAAUCUAAUUAGAGGAGCUUGUCUCGUCAUUGAUAAUCCGCAUUAGUUUUUACUUUAAUUUUAGGUUUAUAUACCGCCGUAUAGGAUCUCUUUGAAAGAAGUGAGAUCAUAAUAUUGUUGGUUAAAAAUUUAGGUCAAGGUGUAGCUUAUAUUAAAGAGAAGGUGAGCUACAGUUAGCAUAUAAAAGGCUUAUAAAAGUAAACUUUUUUAUAAAAGAGGAUUUAAAAGUAAAUUUUAUUUAAUAAAAAAAUUUGAAGUUAGAAUUUAAAGAUGU
rnacentral:rRNA from 1 species